rnacentral:lncRNA from 1 species
GUAUGGCAUAGCUGGGUAGCGUGAUGACAUACUUCCCCGGACAGCCAUUUUAUUUUAAUUCCGGAGGGCUUCGUUUUUGAGGACCGUUGCUCGGUGUCUCGACCGUUUUUUUGCUGAAAGUUCUAGAGGCUGCCCGGAGCUCCAGUGAGCAGGCCUGAGGCCCGGAGAGGGCCUGGAGGGAGGGUGGUUCAUAGCUACAUCGGGCUCGGCUGGGUAGGGUCAAAAAGGGCGAUGCCUGGGAUGCAGGUUCACCGAGGGUUGGUUGGCAUCAACAUCCUCAGAAAGCCUUCCCGUCGGGGCCCAUGGUCAUUUGCACCUCUGGUCCGCUCGGCUGCUCUGUCCCCUGAGAGGCCCAGGAGGUUGGGCUGCGGUAACUCUGCCCACCCGGCAUUACGGAGAUCCUAGGUGGAACAGAGACCGGCUCAGAUGUCUGGAGCGUUGAAACGCGUGUGUGCUUCCUUCCAGGAUGGCCCCCGCUUAGUUGUUCAAAUAUGGGCGAAUAGUAGUGAACCCUGCCAUCCGGAUUGGCUCAUAAGAAUUUUAAAAUUUUGAUUAGUCCGCGUUUACAGUACGUAAUGAACACAUUUGUCAUAGGGAGUUGGCACGUGUUUAUAACACAUCUUGAUUAUUUGUACCUCCCCUCUGCAUCUCAUGAAUAUUGAGUCUAAAGCUUUCUGCUCCUGAGACUUUUGCCUUUCCCCAAGGAAUAAAAGAGGUCACAUGAUGACAGCUGUGCCCUUAACAUCCAGAUCCCAGGUGGGGCAAGGUAGGACGUCAUUGGCCGAUCAGAGAUCUGGGUGCCUGCAUAGGGCAAGCCAGCAAGAAUGAAGGACUGGCAUGAAUGCAGCGCUGGUAAAUGGCAGGAGUAUGAGUCACCCAGAUGACUACUGGAAUAUAUAGAGUGGACGAGGCUUGGGACUAAGGUGCUGGCCGUUUCCUUCCACAUAAUUACCUUCAUGUGCAGAUCCAAGCCCAGCUGCCACAUAGCAGGUUCAGCUCUCUGUGUGGAGAUAUACUUGGUUCUCACUGGGAAAGUGUGCUGAGCUCCGGCUUGCUGCCUCACAUUCUGCAUCCUUUUCUGCCACACCUUCCACAUUUCACACAAAACUGGUGUUAUUGUAAGAGUCCUUCCCUGGCCUCUCAGUGAUGGUUUUGACCAUCAUCAUACCUUGAAGUUUGAGAGUGUAGAAGUUAUUGUUUCAGGACUCAGAGACUUUUGAGGACAUGGCAGUGCAAGUCACCUAGAAGGAAUGGGCCAGCUUGAAGUCCACCAGGAAGGCCUUGUACACGGAAGUGAUGAUGGAGAACUGCAGGGCCAUGGCUUCCCUGGGUAAGGCCUCUCUGCUACCCAUCUCUGCCUGGGCCCUCAGAGAUGGAAGGACUCCUUUGUUUACCAGAUGACCUCAAAUGGCAGUGUCAGAGGUUGGCAGCAGCAUCUGUUGAGAGACCAGCUCUGAACUUUCAGCUGGAGCAAGAGAGGGAAGCCCUAAUCAGGGGCGGCUGGGAUCCAGGCCUUGCAGAUUACAUCUUAAAACUAAGAAGAUAUACUUACCUAGCUUACAGAUACUUUAUCCAAUAAGAUAUAAAGAUUUCUGGAAAUCCUCAGUGCUGGGAAGACAGGACACAAGCUUAAUUCUUGACUUUUACCAGUUUUCAAUUGCAUGUUCAUUAAAGUUGCUCAUUUUGAUGUACAGAGCAGGCUCCCUUGUCCUUUUUUACACGGCUUUAUAGAGAUAUAAUUCACA